GACGAACGCUGGCGGCGUGCUUAACACAUGCAAGUCGAACGAUGAAGCCCAGCUUGCUGGGUGGAUUAGUGGCGAACGGGUGGGUAACACGUGAGUAACCUGCCCCUGACUCUGGGAUAAGCGUUGGAAACGACGUCUAAUACUGGAUAUGACUACUGGUCGCAUGGCCUGGUGGUGGAAAGAUUUUUUGGUUGGGGAUGGACUCGCGGCCUAUCAGCUUGUUGGUGAGGUAAUGGCUCACCAAGGCGACGACGGGUAGCCGGCCUGAGAGGGUGACCGGACACACUGGGACUGAGACACGGCCCAGACUCCUACGGGAGGCAGCAGUGGGGAAUAUUGCACAAUGGGCGAAAGCCUGAUGCAGCAACGCCGCGUGAGGGAUGACGGCCUUCGGGUUGUAAACCUCUUUUAGUAGGGAAGAAGCGAAAGUGACGGUACCUGCAGAAAAAGCACCGGCUAACUACGUGCCAGCAGCCGCCGUAA
rnacentral:rRNA from 1 species